AAGGAAUGAUUUAUUUUAGUUCGAAGCCACUAAGAACUACGUAAAAUGGUUGUCUCAUUCCCUCAAAGAUUCACUGUUUAACAACAUAUAAUGCACCGCUCUUGUUCCAAUGUACACUAAUUUGUCCUCAAGUCACUCUACACAUUAGAUUGAACGUUUAGAAUGUCACUGUCCGGCAAAUUGUCGUUUGGUCUUCUUCUUAUAGGGAACUGUCGGCGUGAGAAACGAUCGAUUGUAUCCGGUCCGCGGGAUCCGCCCCGAUAAUACCAUCGGUUGUUGGUUUAGCUGUUGCUGCCAGGAAAUCGGUCGACUGUAACAUCUCAAGAUAAGCAGCUUUAAGAUUGGAAGUGGAGUUUUUGUGGAUUUUAAGCGCUGAAAAAUGUGAUGUUGUCGAGUCGUAGUGAUCGAAAUGGAUGCGUACUCGUCUCACAUUUGAGCCUGGUUUAUCAAAAACAAUUGUUCGAGUGUCUCAGCACUAAUUCUCAUCACGUGCACACUUGUAGAGAGUAAUUUUACUGACGUCUCUGCGAAUCUAGCACAUUUUGUCGGAACAUGGUUACCUGAUUGAUUCGCCGGCUGGAUCCCUUAACGUGAUUCAUAUAACUUCAGUUCAAAUGGAAGCUUUAUUCUAUUCAAAGUCUUUUUCUAAUGUCUGAAACUCACCCUGGACUACACCAGCGGCACGUGCAAACGUGGGACUGUUUUAUUCAGUGCAACCAACGAUGGAGGCCCUACCACGUGACGGACCAUAAUCGUUUGAAAUAUUACACACAACCGGCUCGGGAAUUAAUUCGUGUAGUUAUUUGCGGUGAAUGUAGAAUCAGUCCUCUCUAGAACUUGAAACCCUCUGGUAAUAAUUUGCAAAAGAUCCACUAGAGUUAUUUUCUCUCCCAUUGCAAAAGGCGUUCUUGCUCAAGGAAUGAAGAAGAAAAUAACGUCAUUAGCGAUACGUCAUCAUUUUUGUCUGAAUAUGACGUAUCGCUGAUGACCUUUACAUGUGUAAUUCUUCAUGUGACUCCAAAUCCUUUGCAAAAUGUCAGUACUGUAUGUUAUACGUAAACCUGCUUAUCUACAUUUACUUAUGGGGUACAUCAGUACCGCAUCGUACACUUGUCCGCUGUGUCAAGCGUUGAAUAUGAUUUCUCAGCUGCGCAAUACCAAAAUCAAAAAGCCGUGUGUGCACUAUAAUAGGGUCUAGACAAAAUCUUGCAAGUUGCAAGAAAUAUUGGAUUAUAAGACAAGGACCAUGCCCGUUGGAUUUUGUACAACGCACGGAACUCGUGAAGGAAUUCUAAGGAAAUUGCAGAAGGAAUUGAAAGACAUUGCAAGGCACUCAAGCGCUGAUAUCGGAAAUAGUUCGGGUCUCGCAUCACUGGAACGGUCGAAUUUCCCGUUGAAAAAUCGUAAUUAGUCACAAUCAUUCUCGCGACAGCUGCGAGACCUGUAAAGGCUCUACAAUGCAGUCUACUUUCAUUUUUUCCCAAUUAGUUCUAGGUGUACUGUUAGUUUCCUCCAGAUGCCAGACGAGGUAUUUUAUUCAAAGUUUGACUACAAAAUGGUAAUGACAGAAAAUGGUUGCAAGUCGUUCUUGUAAUUGCUGACAGGAUUUGUCUUUAGUAAUAGAACCUUGUCCGCGUGUUUCCAAAGUAUGUCCUUCAUAUGUGUUUAAUAUUGCACAGAUAGAUUUUAAGAAAAACAUUUGAACGCUAGUUUAGGAUUUGGGAUAUACUGAGUCAGGACUUUACAGCAUUAAGGUGUUCAAUGUAUAACGAAAGUAGAUUGCACAAUUUUAGAUGAUUUAAAUCAAGAUAAAUGUUAAAUAAUGAUGAAAGUGAAAUAAACCAAAUUGAUAUGGAUGGUAAAUGAUUGAGAACUGAUAUUUUUGUACUUGAAACAUUUUGGAAGUUAUCUGCCCUCGAUGAAAUUAAGAAAAAUAGAAUUUUCUAGAAAAUAUCUAAAGUAAAUGAUUAGUUUUAUUUUAUACUUUUGUAAAGAGAAAGCUUAGGUAACUUUUUAUCAAGAGAUUUGUAUGAAAAUACUAUUUCUUUUAGAAAUAUUUUAAUAAAACAUUCUUUCCCCCUAGAUUUCAAUGUAAAAUUUAAAGUGAAAUAUAUCAAGCAGUAAUCAAAAUUUAGUAAAUUCCUAUGGUGGAUUAUUUUUAUUUGAUAAACUCGUCAAAAUGAUAUCACAUUUACAACAACAAAAAUCACACCAUUCGUUUAUUAGAUAUGAAAUAUGAUCGUUAUACAUUGAAUACAUGCAUCCUUUAAAAAUGAAUUUAUAUGUAGAUUCUGAAAUAGCCUUCGGGCGAAAUGUUAACUCAUCCUUUAAUAGGUCACAGCGUGGGAAUACAUCAUUUUCAAGCACUGAUCAGGGGCGGAUCCAGGAAUCGCAGUUAGGGGGGGGGAGCAACAUUAUGAGGCAGGGGUCUGGGGACCCAGGGGGCGAAACCCCCGGAAGCUCCUGGAUUUUAUUGGGCUUGAAAUAUGUCUCCUAUGUAGUCAUUUUUACUAUUUUCUGUCAUUUUUAAUAUGGUGAAAUUAAUAAAAUGACGCAAAUUUUAAGGGUUUUUGAAAAAAAUGUAAGUUUUCCCCAUUAAAAGUAAUUAAAUAAAUCAAAAGAUUUUGACAUUUAUUUCUCCAAGGGUGAAAGAAAUCAUCAUUUCUUUUAUCGUUUUCAUUUUUCUAAAGAAGAGACCAAGACUUACCUUAGAUUUGAAAAUUUUAGGGGGGGGGGGCGCCGACUGCGCUCCCCCCAUAAAUCCGCCACUGAUGAUUAUAACCCCAUCACUGGUGUUAUUUGCCAGUUUUGGAGGAUGUCGCCUAUGUUAUUUGGCCCAAAAGAAAGUCCUCCACAACUGUUAAUUGUUCGAAUCACACAUUUCAUUUUAUAAAGUAUUUCUGAUAACGGUUGGAUUACAUAGAGUGGUUUUCAAAAUUAUUUCUGAUAUUUGGCUUGGCAAUUUUUUGCAGAUCAAAGGCGUUAUAAAGGAGCUCUGAAAUAUGAAUUUUACCCUACCGUGACAAGUAGUGUUGAUAAAACCGCAUCUCGCAGUUUGUAUAAGUAUCAUACGAUCAUCAUGGUUAGACCAUCUCACACAACAUGAGAAGAAAGAGGAAGAGAAGAUGAAUCAUGAUGAUCCCUUUGAUCUCAAAAAGCCAAAGAAAUCAGAGAAAAAGGGAAAAUGUCCUAGCAUGAUGAGAAAAUAGGAAACAGUGCUAUUGCCUCACAUAGAGAAACCAGUAAGGAGAAUGAUGCAUUUUCAGGGAAAAUGUCCAAGCAUGAUGAGAAAAUGAGGAGAAUGAUGCAUUUUCAGGGAAAAUGUCCAAGCAUGAUGAGAAAAUAGGGAACAGUGCCAUUGUCUCACUUAGAGAAGCCAGUGAGGAGAAUGAUGCAUUUUCAGGGAAAAUGUUCAAGCAUGAUGAGAAACUGCGCCAUUGUUUCACUUACAGAAGCCAAUGUUGAGGAUGAUGCAUGUUCAGGGAUAUUGCAGUCAAUGACUGUGAUUCAUCUUAUAAUGCAAAAGUUGGAGAUACGCUCCUACAGUGAAGGACCCUGAUUAUGAACCAGACCACUGCUCCGACAGUGAUUCAGACUCUCUAAUUGAAGAAAACCAAGAUGAUCUUCCUGACAGUUUUAGGAAAGUGACCUCAUGAUAGAAGUUUCAGAAUGUCCUACCAUUGAUCCUGGAAGUGAAAAAGUAUCUGAUAGUGAAGAAAGCUACAGUAGCAUAGAGAGUGAAAACUAUCCCAUGCUCUCUAGAAAGAAAGAAAAAGACAUUUCUUUUUAAGCCAUAAGGUGUUCCCAAAAAUUCAAUUGGAAACUUCAACAAACUGCAUGCCUGCUUUUUUGUGAUAAGAUGAUUGCUAACAUUGCAAGACAUCUUGAACUAGCACACAAAGCAGAAGUUGAAGUAGCCAGGGUUUUAGCUUUCCCCCCAAAAAGCAAAGAAAGGGGAUAAAUGAGGGAGGAACUUCAAAGUAUUAAUGUGUGCAUUAUGUAUAAAUUUAUUUGAUGUAAUCACUAGUAAAACCGAUUUUGCUUAAUAUACAUUUUUUUCUAUGCACUGCAUAAUUAUGUAGAUGCAAUAACUGGGACUUAACAUUUGAAAAGAAGUUGUUUGUGAUUGUUUGCAAUUGUACUAUGAACCUGUAAGUUACAUCAUUAAAUAUAAUGCUAGAUUCAA